GUGCUCGCUUUGGCAGCACAUAUACUAAAAUUGGAACGAUACAGAGAAGAUUAACAUGGCCCCUGUGCAAGGAUGACACGCAAAUUAAUGAAGCAUUUGAUGUUCUC
rnacentral:snRNA from 1 species